GGCUAUGACAGAGAAUCCCCUUCAGAAACUGUUCCAGCUUGCAGCAAGUUUGGGGGUUUCCAGACCCUCCCGCCCAUCUGCUGGUGGGUGGGAACAGUCUUCUCAUUUCCAGCCUCAGCUGAGCCCUGAAAAAUGACUUUCUGAUAAGGAAGCCACAAGAGCAGUCAUGCAACCUUCCCCAGCAGUAUGUUUUGGUGUCCAGGGCAGUCGGCAGAGAGGCCAAGCGGUACUAUUGCAACAUGUAGCUUACCUCCUUUGCAUUGCCUGGAUGUUCAGUUCUGCCUGCCUUUUGGUUACAACACAGAGCCAUCCGAGGGCUUCUGCAAUCCGUCUCCUGGGGCCGGGGGUUACUUGUUUGAUGGGUUAACGAAGGGCUCAGUGGCUAGUCACAAAUCCCUGCAUUGACUCAUUGCCACCGGUCUGGUGUCUGUGACAAAUGAAUGUUAAUUGCACCUGGCAAGGGGGGAUACAGAAACUUGAGUCUGUUAUGAACAUUCUGGUUCUCCCAAAGCAUCUCAGGUGAGGUCUCAUAUAAAUGCUGGGGACAUACUAGUCAUAAUGCCUGUUUACAUACAAAGUUUAUGUAAUAAGAGAUGUGGCCUCUACAGAAAAGGACUGUGCAGGUGAAAACAAGCCAUGGGGGAUUAUCCUGCCUUGGAGUAAAGACAAUGAACAUCAGAGGUAUAUGUAGAAGGCACAGAAGACAACCCUUCAUCCUGCACUUGGCAAGCGAAUGGACAGCGUGGGUCGCAGGCAGCCUCGGUUGAAAAGUCUGCAACAGACUUUGGAUGAGAGAAAUGUCUUCAGCCACGAGGUUAACCUGAUAGUUUGUGUCUAGAAAGUGUGCUAUGAUGCUGGUUGUUUAGGUAAUGACUUGUUUCCAACAUUCUUAGUGAACUCUGUUCUUUGUUAAUUUUAUUCUUUU